UCGACGCUUGGCCCCUAGGCCAUGAAACAAACUUUGCGUUCGUCUAAAUCAGUUCAUUUCCGAAACUUAUCGAACAACCGGCGGGAACUGCAAUCGGUGGCCCAUGAAAGUUGUAUUGAAAGGCGGGCGCGACAGAAACAGAGACUCAGCGACAGAUACAGAGUCAGAGAGACAGUCAAGACAGCCAAGACAACAACGACAACAACGACAACAACUUGGCGAGGGGCCGCGCCACAAUUGACUGGCAAACUGGAGCUGUACAUCCUGGACACUGGCAGGAACUGCACCGCAUUCCCCGAGCAUCAGAUCUACCUUUUACUUAUUGCCAGGGCAAAUAAUAACUUAUGUGUGGUGUCAGGCCAAAAAGCCGUAAGCGCUACGGGAAAUAUUUUCAGUGUGUGCUUUUCCUGCCAUACUGCUCCAGUAUUUGUACUUUAGUAGUUGUGUCUGCUGUAUGCUGGCCAAUCUCCAACGAUGUAUCUCAGUAUUUUUGCAAUAUUUCAACAUGCCGGCGCGUAUCUUUUGGAUGCCUGUCUGUGGGUUUUUGCCAUGCCAUGCCGUGCCGUGCCGUGUCCGUUAUUGAACUAUUGUGCAGCGCACGUAAUUUAAGCCAGCCCCGCCCCGGACUCGGGACUCGCCCCACAGCUCGCCUCGCAAUCCUGCCCAGCUAUAUAUAUCUAUUCCCCUGCUGUUUGUGGAUUCGUUGUGGAUUUUUGCAAAAACUUUCGUCGUCAGGCGCAUGGCCAGUUUGCGUUCUCAAUUUGCGGCCCAAGUUGAAAAUUUGUUUAUGAAAGGGAAUUUUCUAUGAAAGUAACUGAAACCCGAACCCGAAGUUCAG